rnacentral:rRNA from 1 species
AGUGAACGCUGGCGGUAGGCCUAACACAUGCAAGUCGAACGGCAGCACAGUAAGAGCUUGCUCUUACGGGUGGCGAGUGGCGGACGGGUGAGGAAUACAUCGGAAUCUACUUUUUCGUGGGGGAUAACGUAGGGAAACUUACGCUAAUACCGCAUACGACCUACGGGUGAAAGCAGGGGAUCUUCGGACCUUGCGCGAUUGAAUGAGCCGAUGUCGGAUUAGCUAGUUGGCGGGGUAAAGGCCCACCAAGGCGACGAUCCGUAGCUGGUCUGAGAGGAUGAUCAGCCACACUGGAACUGAGACACGGUCCAGAAUCCUACGGGAGGCAGCAGUGGGGAAUAUUGGACAAUGGGCGCAAGCCUGAUCAAGCCAUACCGCGUGGGUGAAGAAGGCCUUCGGGUUGUAAAGCCCUUUUGUUGGGAAAGAAAAGCAGCAGGUUAAUACCCCGCUGCUCUGACGGUACCCAAAGAAUAAGCACCGGCUAACUUCGUG